GACGAACGCUGGCGGCGUGCCUAAUACAUGCAAGUAGAACGCUGAAGGGAGAGCUUGCUCUUCUGGAUGAGUUGCGAACGGGUGAGUAACGCGUAGGUAACCUGCCUGGUAGCGGGGGAUAACUAUUGGAAACGAUAGCUAAUACCGCAUAACAGCAAAUGUUGCAUGACAUUUGCUUAAAAGGUGCAAUUGCAUCACUA
rnacentral:rRNA from 1 species